UACGUAGGAGGCGAGCGUUGUCCGGAGUUACUGGGCGUAAAGCGUGCGCAGGCGGUUAUUUAAGUUAGGUGUGAAAGCCCCGGGCUUAACUUGGGAAUUGCGCUCGAAACUACGUGGCUGGAGUGUGGCAGAGGAAGGUGGAAUUCCAGGUGUAGCGGUGAAAUGCGUAGAGAUCUGGAGGAACACCGAUGGCGAAGGCAGCCUUCUGGGCCAACACUGACGCUCAUGCACGAAAGCGUGGGGAGCAAACAGG
rnacentral:rRNA from 1 species